rnacentral:rRNA from 1 species
AGUGAACGCUGGCGGCGUGCUUAACACAUGCAAGUCGAACGGAUCAAAGUAGCUUGCUAUUUUGGUUAGUGGCGCACGGGUGAGUAAUGUAUAGCUAACCUGCCCUUUAGUGGGGGACAACAGUUGGAAACGACUGCUAAUACCCCAUACUCCUUCUUGCCAUAAGGUGAGUCGGGAAAGAUUUAUUGCUAGAGGAUGGGGCUUUAUUGUAUCAGCUAGUUGGUGAGGUAAUGGCUCACCAAGACUAUGACACAUAACUGGUUUGAGAGGAUGAUCAGUCACACUGGAACUGAGACACGGUCCAGACUCCUACGGGAGGCAGCAGUGGGGAAUAUUGCACAAUGGACGAAAGUCUGAUGCAGCAACGCCGCGUGGAGGAUGACACAUUUCGGUGCGUAAACUCCUUUUAUAUGAGAAGAUAAUGACGGUAUUAUAUGAAUAAGCACCGGCUAACUCCGUGCCAGCCGCCGCGGUAAUAC